GGAUAUAACAAAUGAAUAUCAUGAGAUGGAGGUCAACAAAACAUAUGAAUCACACUACUGAAGAAUCAACAAACUAGACUUUCAGAAUCAAGGAGCUAAUAUUAACAGGAUAUCAAAUCAUUCAAGAGACGGAGGGAUUUCAAACUAAUAACAACCAAAGGCAUAUAACUACUGAACCUAUUUCAUAUGAGAUUGUGAAAAAACAAACAAGAAAUAAACGCAUCUAAAUAUUAACAAAAAUGAAGCAAAUAUAUACAAGCAAAGACAAAGUACUUAGCUUUUGUUUUACACAUGAAAUUCCACUUGAGAGCAUUUCGUUGGUCUCUAACCCCCUUCUGCAGAGGUUCUAGCAACUUAUUUUGAACUGAAAGGUUUUAGGGGGUUCAGGACCGAGGUUCUGGUGAUUCUGAGACCCUGUGAGGUCUCAGAUUGGAGUUUUCUCGGUGAUUGGUGGUAUUUGGGGGUUGUGUAGGGCAUGGUUUGGUAGAGAAAUAGACGGAGACCAUCUGAGAUGAACUUGACCAAAUUCCGACAAGGUUGAGUUUUAGGGUUAACCUUCAACUUAAUAUUCGAAAGUUUUUGACUGGAUUCGAAGGGUGUAACACACAUGGUUGGAGAAGAGGUUGAGUUGUUUCAGGGGUGUAAGUUUUGAGGUUUUGGAGUUGGGUCGCCAGAGAUGGGGGAUACCGACGACCUUUCUGUGAUGAUUUGAGACGAUGGGGGGUCGUUUGAAAGAAAUGGAUUGCAGGAUAAGGAAGGGGAGGUUCUGAUGGUCCUACAGUGUAAUGUUGGAUAGGUUUGGAACAGGGUCAUCGGAGAUGGUGGUUUCGACGACCUUAUUUUGAAUAUUCGAGAUGGAAGACUUAUUCGACGGAAACUAAUCACAGGACGGGAAAAACGAGGUUGUGAUGGUUUGAUGGUGUAAAUCUGGGGAGGUUUGGUUAUCGGCCGCCGCCGUGAAGAGAUUUUCAGCGACGGCGUUAGGGUGGUAGACGGGUGGUCAAGUGGUGGUCAAGGGUGGUGUUACAUUGGAGGUGGAC
rnacentral:lncRNA from 1 species